rnacentral:misc_RNA from 1 species
AUCUUCUUUGACUUGGCUUGG